AACGAACGCUGGCGGCAUGCCUAACACAUGCAAGUCGAACGAAGCCUUCGGGCUUAGUGGCGCACGGGUGCGUAACGCGUGGGAAUCUGCCCUUUGGUUCGGAAUAACAGUUGGAAACGACUGCUAAUACCGGAUGAUGACGAAAGUCCAAAGAUUUAUCGCCAGAGGAUGAGCCCGCGUAGGAUUAGCUAGUUGGUGUGGUAAAGGCGCACCAAGGCGACGAUCCUUAGCUGGUCUGAGAGGAUGAUCAGCCACACUGGGACUGAGACACGGCCCAGACUCCUACGGGGGGCAACAGGGGGGAAUAUUGGACAAUGGGCGAAAGCCUGGUCCAGCAAUGGCGCGUGAGUGAUGGAGGCCCUAGGGUUGUAAAACUCUUUUACCCGGGAUGAUAAUGACAGUACCGGGAGAAUAAGCCCCGGCUAACUCCGUGCCAGCCGCCGCCGUAA
rnacentral:rRNA from 1 species